rnacentral:tRNA from 1 species
GCCCCGGUAGCUCAGGGGAUAGAGCAUCCGCCUCCUAAGCGGAGGGUCGGCGGUUCGAUUCCGCCCCGGGGCGCCA